CGGGCGGGUGAGUAACACGUGGAUAACCUACCUAUAAGACUGGGAUAACUUCGGGAAACCGGAGCUAAUACCGGAUAAUAUAUUGAACCGCAUGGUUCAAAAGUAAAAGACGGUCUUGCUGUCACUUAUAGAUGGAUCCGCGCUGCAUUAGCUAGUUGGUAAGGUAACGGCUUACCAAGGCAACGAUGCAUAGCCGACCUGAGAGGGUGAUCGGCCACACUGGAACUGAGACACGGUCCAG
rnacentral:rRNA from 1 species